rnacentral:rRNA from 1 species
UACGUAGGGGGCAAGCGUUGUCCGGAUUUAUUGGGCGUAAAGAGCGUGUAGGCGGCCAGGUAGGUCCGGUGUGAAAACUCGAGGCUUAACCUCGAGAUGUCAUCGGAAACCAUUUGGCUAGAGUCCGGAAGAGGAAAGUGGAAUUCCUGGUGUAGCGGUGAAAUGCGUAGAGAUCGGGAGGAACACCAGAGGCGAAGGCGGCGACCUGGACAGAUACUGACACUCAACUACGAAAGCGUGGGGAGCAAACAGG